GGGGAAGGCAAGCAGGCAGGCAGGCAGGGCCGCAGAGGCGGGAGGCUGUGACCCACUCGUGAUCUAGAGUGGAGAGGUGUUAAAAUGCUGCCACCCAACUACAGGCAGCCUUGGGCUGAUCGCCUUGUCUCUGCUUGAGUGUCCCUCUCCUCCUCCUCCUUGCAUGCUGCUAAACCAUCCCUGCCAGAGAGAGUUUAUCUCUGGGGCUCAUCACACUACUUCUGGAGAGCAAUAAUUUUGCCUUUGGGAUAGACCAGACAUAUUUUCAAAGCCCUGAUUGCUUAGUGAGAAUAUGCCUGGGGACACCCACUCCCCAUCAGUGAUGUCACCCUCGCUGUGUGGGGGUACUCUCAAUAUGCUUGCAGUAUUUUGUCAGGACCAAAGUUUUGGAGUACCAUUCCCAUCUUCUCUUCCCACUCUGGGACUCCUGUUGCAAUGAGUCACUGCUUCCCAGGAUAGAGUCCCUCAUGCUGUAGCUGUGACUCUCUGAGUGCCUUUCCCUGACCUGAAGAAGAGCUCUGUGUAGUUCAAAAAGCUUCUCUCGCUCACCAGGGGAAGUUGGUCCAAUAAAAGUUCAAAUUUUAUAAAAAGGAAACAAUCUCAACAGGCAGUUAUGAACCAAGUAACAACGUUAGCUUCAUCGCUCUUCUUUUUGGACCCAGCAAUUGAACAAGGUGUUUUCGUGGUAUACAGACAUGCCAACUCUCAUGAAUUAAUCACGAGAGAUGCGAUUUCUAAGAUCAAUGAAGCUUGACUCAUGGUCGCACGACAGAACUCUCACAUGUCAGAAUUUUUUUUUUUCAGAUGCACCUGACUCUGGGGCUGACAGCGGGAGCCACAGCUACCUGGGGCUGACCUUGGAGCCCCUCCUUGUGUGGUGGGCUGACAGUGGGAGCCCUGGUGCAAUGAAUAGACUCCCACUGUCAGCCAGUCCCAAUUGGCUGGAAUUCCCGCUGUCAGCCCCAGCUCUGGGGCAGCCGGAGCUCUUGCUGUCAGCCUGGGAAGUGGGAGAGAGGACCCCAUUGCAGUCCCUCCAGGCCUGCAGAGGGUGAAGAACCCUCAGGAGCAGAGGUGAGGCUGGGAGGGCUGAACU